rnacentral:rRNA from 1 species
UACGGGGGGACGAAGCGUUGUUCGGAUUUAUUGGGCGGUAAAGGGACGCGUAGGCGGGCCCGACAAGUCGGAUGUGAAAACCACGGGCUCAACCCGUGGCCUGCAUUCGAUACUGUGGGUCUUGAGUAUCGGAGAGGAGUGUGGAAUUCCAGGUGUAGCGGUGAAAUGCGUAGAUAUCUGGAAGAACACCGAUGGCGAAGGCAGCACUCUGGACGAAUACUGACGCUGAGGCGCGAAGGCUU